CUGAAUCUUUCUCCUCUUUACAGGCAAAGCCACUUAGGGCGCGGAAGCAACUUUCCUUCACCUUGGCCAGGCUGAAACCAUCGCAUCUAAUUGGGACUCUCGGCAGAGGCACGGACCUUCUGGCAUUCUCUCCUCAUUCUCUCUUUCUCCUUUUCUCCCUCUCUCGUUCUCCUUUUCCCUUUUCCCCUCCCCCUCCCUCCCUCCCUUUAUAGGGGUGUAUCCGCAGAGUCUUCAGUGAGCCAGGGUACCUAGACGAGAGGAUUAUUAUACAGAAAGGCAGGGCGGUUUUACUGGCUGCUUCGUCUCACUCUGUUGAAAUCCUUAGGCAACGCAUGCAAAGGACCCUUUCCGGUUAACGCCCUGACUUCUGGUAUAAUGCCUUUUCAUUUUGGCCCAGAAAGCACACCAUCCUUCAUUCAGAAGUAACACCGAGAGUUGAUGUGUUGCCAUCAUUAAUCACAGCAGAAAAAUACAAAAUGCAGGAGGUUGUGUGUUGAUUGGUCUCCCAGAAGGCUGAAAGAAAAGGAGGCUGCACUUGGCGGGUAACUGCACUCCCACAUAUGACAGGUAAAAGGAGUUGGUUUCCUAUACACCAUGUGUGGAGAGAGUGAGCACAGAGUAGGAGAUGUGUUUUCUUAGGUCCUAACCAGAAGGGCUUGUUGGAGCAACUUUGGAUCCCAGGAGACAGUCUGUGGGGGCACAAGGCUGUGGUAAUGCAACUGUGCAGGCUUGUGCUCUGCACAAAAGUGCCUCGUUGUAGAGAGAGAAGGAGCUGCUUGCCCAGUGCUCCUGUGCAGGGCUGCAUCAACCUGCUUGGAGGGUGUCUUUUUGUAAUUCAUCAAUCUGGAGGGAGCACUUUCCUAAUUCACAUACAGGGGGCUAGGAGAAGCCCGUUGAUGUAGUACAGAUGACCAGGUCCUCGGGGAGUGUAGUAAGUGCCCAGUCACGAAAGCCUCACCAGAAUCAGGUCAGACUCUGCAACGAGAGAUCUCCAUAGCUGAGGGUCUUUAAAGAGUGGACUAAAUUUGGAUUAGGAAAGUCAGCUUUGAAUACCUGCUAAGCCCAGGGAAAAAGGAAUGACUAAUCAGUUAUGGUCAAACAGGACUCUUAUCUUGUCCCCCAAACCUUCUAUCUCUGACCUCUUCAACUCUGAGGUAUCAAAAGCUCCAUCUCCUGCUUGAGGUGGAGGGAGGAUGAGGAUGAGGAGCUGGUUGAGCAGAGAGAAGAGCCUGCCAGGUGCCAUUGCCUGGCUGGGGGCAAGAGAAGCUGUAACUCAGAGGGACUUUGGAAUUUUGAUUAUUACUCUGUAUUGAACCUAAUUCCACCUGAGUCUUUGUCUUUUUUUCUUUUUUAUCGCACUAAAGUGAAGGGAGAAAUUUUUAUUUGGGAAGAAUCUGAAUGUCAAUGCACCAGCCUUGAAUAGUACCUAAGGGGAUAGAGAAGAACAAGCCCCACAGGCAAGAUAUGUAGGGGCAAUGGUGAGAAAAGAAUCAAAUUGUUUUUGUGGUGCUUUAUUAGCCUCAUUUAUUAGGUGUAUAAAUGUUCUGAUCAGUACUUUGGAUUCUUUCGCGUUUUUUCCCGAUUCUUGCAAAGGAAAACAAAAAAGAAUAGCCCUUGGAUAUUUACUAUGUGUUUCGCUUUUGUCCCACAUAUUGUACAAUGAACAGCUGAGUUAAUUUUGGUUCUAAAUUUGAAUGUUCAGAUAUUAAAAUACCUAUCACCCACAAAUAUCUUCUUUGGAAGAUUUUAAUUUUCAAUCAUUAAAUAAAUAUUAAUGAAAAAUAAAUAUUCAUAAAAUUAGUAGAUUCUUUAAAAAUACUCUUCACAAGAAAUUGAAGUACUUGUUUAUUUGUCUUCCCUAUUAGACUGGAAGUUUCAUGAGGACAGGCACUAUGAUUAUGUUUACCAUUAUAUCCCGGUACUUACAGAAAUGAUGUGUGUGGAGGGGUGGUGGCUGGGAGGAGAAGACUUGGUCAGUAGACAUUUUUUGAGUGAACGAAUUAACCUUUAAAGAUCAAAAGAUUGUACUGACAAAAGAUUGUCUUUUUUUUGCUGAAAAAUAUUCGCCCUGAGCUAACAUCUGUUGCCAAUCUUCCUUUUUUUGCUUGAG